UGCCCUAGUAACGGCGAGUGAAGCGGCAACAGCUCAAAUUUGAAAUCUGGCUUCGGCCCGAGUUGUAAUUUGCAGAGGAAGCUUUAGGCGCGGCACCUUCUGAGUCCCCUGGAACGGGGCGCCAUAGAGGGUGAGAGCCCCGUAUAGUUGGAUGCCUAGCCUGUGUAAAGCUCCUUCGACGAGUCGAGUAGUUUGGGAAUGCUGCUCAAAAUGGGAGGUAAAUUUCUUCUAAAGCUAAAUACCGGCCAGAGACCGAUAGCGCACAAGUAGAGUGAUCGAAAGAUGAAAAGCACUUUGAAAAGAGGGUUAAAUAGCACGUGAAAUUGUUGAAAGGGAAGCGCUUGUGACCAGACUUGCGCCGGGCUGAUCAUCCGGUGUUCUCACCGGUGCACUCUGCCCGGCUCAGGCCAGCAUCGGUUCUCGCGGGGGGAUAAAGGCCCUGGGAAUGUAGCUCCUCCGGGAGUGUUAUAGCCCGGGGUGUAAUACCCUCGCGGGGACCGAGGUUCGCGCAUCUGCAAGGAUGCUGGCGUAAUGGUCAUCAGCGACCCGUCUUGAAACACGGACC
rnacentral:rRNA from 2 species